AUUGCUUCUGUGCAUAGAAACAGAAUUUGCUCUCUUCCCUUGAUAAAUAGAUUUCUGUUGUUUUGUCCCCUUGAGUUUUAAACUUUUUUUUUUUUUUUUAUGGAGUUAGCAGAAAUGACCGAGGAAGGAACAUUUCAGAAAAGCUUCUUAUGUGACACACUGGGAAAAUAAGCAUUCACACGCUGCCAAGACUGGAAGGGACCUCAUCUAAGGACUUGCAGCAAGAUUUCAGCCAAAAGUAUCUCAAGCCCCAGUUAUCUGCACAGAGAGCAGAGGCUUUGCUGCAAAGCGUGAGUACAAGACGUGAGC
rnacentral:lncRNA from 1 species